rnacentral:rRNA from 1 species
UCAAGCUAGAAAGAGCGCAAGGGGAAUGCCUUGGCAUCAGGAGCCGAAGAAGGACGUGACAAGCUGCGAUAAGCUGCGGUGAGCUGCACAUAAGCUUUGACCCGCAGAUUUCCGAAUGGGGAAACCCGGCAGAGCAAUACUCUGUCAGCGUGCGUUGAAUCAAAUAGGCGUACGCGGGGAACCGCCUGAACUGAAACAUCUAAGUAGGGCGAGGAAGAGAAAUCAACCGAGAUUCCGCUAGUAGUGGCGAGCGAACGCGGAAGAGGCCAAACCGGAGGUAGCAAUAUUUCCGGGGUUAGGACUGCAAUAUGUAACUUUAAUCUUUAACUGAAUGCUUUGGGAAGAGCAGCGAUACAGGGUGACAGCCCCGUAAGUGAAAAGGAUUGAGUGCUAGCAGUAUCCAGAGUACCAGCGGACACGUGAAACCCGCUGGGAAGAUGGGGGGACCAUCCUCCAAGCCUAAAUACUACUCAGUGACCGAUAGUGGAGCAGUACCGUGAGGGAAAGGUGAAAAGUACCCCGGGAGGGGAGUGAAAAAGAACCUGAAACCUUGUGCCUACAAGCACCGAGAGCACGUUAAAGUGUGAUCGGGUACUUUUUGUAGAACGGUCCGGCGAGUUAAUAUUUGCAGCGAGGUUAAGGAACUGGAGUUCCGGAGCCGCAGCGAGAGCGAGUCUGAAAAGGGCGUAUGAAGUUGCAGGUAUUAGACCCGAAACCGGGUGACCUAUCCAUGAGCAGGCUGAAGCGGUGGUAAGACACCGUGGAGGGCCGCACCCACGUCUGUUGAAAAAGCCGGGGAUGACUUGUGGAUAGCGGAGAAAUUCCAAUCGAACUCGGAGAUAGCUGGUUCUCCCCGAAAUAGCUUUAGGGCUAGCGUUAUUUUAGAUUACCGGAGGUAAAGCACUGAAUGGUCUAGGGGCCGCGAGGUUACCAAAGCCUAUCAAACUCUGAAUGCCGGAUAAUUGAUGAAUAGCAGUCAGACUGUGUGAGAUAAGUCUCAUAGUCAAAAGGGAAACAGCCCAGAUCUACAGCUAAGGUCCCAAAUGAACACUAAGUGGAAAAUGAUGUGAAACUGCGAAGACAACCAGGAUGUUGGCUUAGAAGCAGCCACUCAUUCAAAGAGUGCGUAAUAGCUCACUGGUCGAGUGGUUUUGCGCAGAAAAUGUAACGGGGCUAAGUGUUCAACCGAAGCUUAGGCAUUGCAGUAAUGCAUUGGGUAGGGGAGCGUCGUAUGCGGGGCGAAGUCAGAGCGGAAGCACUGGUGGACUGCAUACGAGUGAGAAUGCCGGAAUAAGUAGCGAGAAUUAUGUGAGAAUCAUAAUGGCCGAAAAUCUAAGGUUUCUUGGGGAAGGUUCGUCCGCCCAAGGUUAGUCGGGAGCUAAGCUCAGGCCGAAAGGCGUAGGCGAUGCACAUACGGUAGAAAUUCCGUAACCACCGAACAUUUAAGCUAGAGGGACGCUUUCUUUAAGGUUAUCCCGGGCGAUGGUUGCCCCGGGCGUAAGGGACCGAAAUAUAGUAGGGAAGUAACUGGCGAGAGAGACGAGAAAAGCUCUAGUGUAUACUAAGGUGCCCGUACCGCAAACCGACACAGGUAGAUGGGAUGAGUAUUCUAAGGCCAACGGGAGAAGGGUUGUUAAGGAACUCGGCAAAUUGGCCCCGUAACUUCGGGAUAAGGGGCGCCUGCGAGAGCAGGCCGCAGUGAAAAGGCCCAAGCGACUGUUUAGCAAAAACACAGCUCUCUGCUAAAUCGAAAGAUGACGUAUAGGGGGUGACGCCUGCCCGGUGCUGGAAGGUUAAGGGGAGUGCUUAGCGCAAGCGAAGGUGCGAACUUAAGCCCCAGUAAACGGCGGCCGUAACUAUAACGGUCCUAAGGUAGCGAAAUUCCUUGUCAGGUAAGUUCUGACCCGC